AUUGAACGCUGGCGGCACGCCUAACACAUGCAAGUCGAGCGGCAGCGGGUUGUGUAGUAAUACAUGAUGCCGGCGAGCGGCGACGGGUGAGGAACACGUAGGAACUUGCCCUUGAGAGGGGGAUAACCGAGGGAAACCUUGGCUAAUACCGCAUAAACUCGGGAGAGAAAAGCUGCCAAGCGAUGGGUGGCGCUUGAGGAGAGGCCUGCGUCCGAUUAGCGAGUGGGGGUGGUAAGAGCACCCCAAGGCGAUGAUCGGUAACUGGUCUGAGAGGACGACCAGGCACACUGGGACUGAGACACGGCCCAGACUCCUACGGGAGGCAGCAGUGGGGAAUAUUGGACAAUGGGGGGAACCCUGAUCCAGCGAUGCCGCGUGGGUGAAGAAGGCCUUCGGGUUGUAAAGCCCUUUAGGUUAGGAAGAAGGGUACUAGGUUAAGAGCUAGGUAUUUUGACGGUACUAACAGAAUAAGCACCGGCAAACUCUGUGCCAGCCGCCGCAGUAA
rnacentral:rRNA from 1 species